GAAUUGCGAUAUGUAAUGUGAAUUGCAGAAUUCAGUGAAUCAUCGAAUCUUUGAACGCAUAUUGCACCCUCUGGUAUUCCGGAGGGUAUGCCUGUUUGAGUGUCAUCUAAUACCUCGAAACAGCAGGGUUUUAACUUUACCUUGUUGCUCGGAUUUUGAAGGUAUGCUGGUUUCCUUAUUUGGAUUCAGCUCCUUUUAAAUGCAUUAAGUAGGAUGUAAUUGUCCACGUCUGGCUAAUCAGCUUGAUAACAUGAGUUGAGCUGUGGCUGGAAUUGUGGCUUUCCUUCUUCUCAAAUUUGUCUCAAGGCUUUGCCCAUGUAGACUUGACUUUGACCAUUUGACCUCAAAUCAGGUAGGACUACCCGCUGAACUUAA
rnacentral:misc_RNA from 1 species